rnacentral:rRNA from 1 species
CCGCGGUAAUACAGAGAGUGCAAACGUUGUUCGGAAUCACUGGGCUUAAAGCGCACGUAGGCGGCAUUGUAAGUGUCGGGUGAAAGCCCACGGCUCACCCGUGGAAUUGCCCGGCAGACUGCAGUGCUAGAGUGUGGUAGGGGAGAGCGGAACUCCUGGUGGAGCGGUGAAAUGCGUAGAUAUCAGGAGGAACACCGGUGGCGAAGGCGGCUCUCUGGUCCAUAACUGACGCUGAGGUGCGAAAGCUAGG